rnacentral:rRNA from 1 species
CAGCCGCCGCGGUAAUACGAAGGGUGCAAGCGUUACUCGGAAUUACUGGGCGUAAAGCGUGCGUAGGUGGUGGUUUAAGUCCGUUGUGAAAGCCCUGGGCUCAUCCUGGGAAUUGCAGUGGAUACUGGGUCACUAGAGUGUGGUAGAGGAUAGUGGAAUUUCCGGUGUAGCAGUGAAAUGCGUAGAGAUCGGAAGGAACAUCUGUGGCGAAGGCGACUAUCUGGGCCAACACUGACACUGAGGCACGAAAGCGUGGGGAGCAAACAGGAUUAGAUACCCCCGUAGUCCCUGUCUCUUAUAC